CCUCUAAUACCACCCCGGUGGGGAGGGGAGAGGGUGGAUUGAUAAUUGGAGGUGGAGGUGGAGGCUCAUGCUCACCAUGACGGCUCCAUGACACCUACGUGUGGGAGGAAUAAGAAGAAGUACAUCAACUCUACCUUCCUAAAAGUGGAAGUCCCAAUAUCGCUUAACAAAUGCUCUUGUUGCUGAAACUGGCUCUGUUGUUUGCCGUGAAGAACCAGAUUGGUGCCUUUAGAGAAGGGCGGAACCACAGAUCUGUACUCUGAAGGGAGCACGCUGAAUUUGUCAACAAUUUUUCAGAAUUGGCAACUCUGUUUUGCCCGCAAGUUUUGCCCUGAGGCAUGUGGAAUCUUAGCUCCCUGAUUGCACCUACCCCCGGAAUUGGAAGGCAGAAAAGUCUUAACCACUGAACCACCAGGAAAGUUCAUCCACUCUUAUUUUAAGCUGAAGCCAUUCUAGGUACAUUAGUAAUAGAAGCUCAGUUUGUAUGAUAAACAAAGAGGCGCCAUUAAAGAGGAUAUGUCCUCAUUUUUCGUCACUUGUUGAAAUCAAACUUCAGUUCUGCAGGAUACAAUUAUUAUCACGAUUCAGAAUUGUAUACACUGGAUGCAUUUCCUCAGAGUACGGGCUCUAGGGCGUGUGCGCUAUGGAAACUUUGUAGCUGUGGUCCAUGGGCUCAGUCGCUCCAGAGCAUGUGGGAUCCUCCCAGAGUCGGGGAUCGAACCCACGUCUCCUGCAUUGGCAGCCUCUCUGCCUUGCUGAUGUUUUGCUGCUGUGUCCUACUGUUGUGUACCUGUCGAUGUUUCUGUCAAGCCUUGCUGUGCUUGCCUGCUUGGGAGAUGGACCAGAGCUCUGCCAUACCUCCUCCAGCGGCUACUUGGUACUCAUCUCAUGGAAUCUGCCUCUCAACCUGUGAAGAGGGUGAUCAGAGAGCUGGAAACCUCCAGUGUGGCCCUUUCUGGCCUCGAUUCAGAUGCGCCCAUGACUUUCUUGUCCUGAGAGAGGGCAGAUGUGAUAGGAAGCAAACUCGUGUACUGGUGCACAUCUGGGUCCAGUGCCCUCACCUGGUCAGGCAGGGACGCGGGAAAUCUGCUUGCCCGGGGAAUCUGCUUCCAGCCCUUCGGCCUCUGCUUCUCAUGUGAUCUGAGAGGUCUCCCAGGAAGGGCUGAAACCCCUCUGGCUCAGAAUCCUGAGAAAGCUGGCAGAGGAAAUCAGAGCAAAGGAAGGUCAGUGUCAUGUCCGGUGGUGCCAAAGUAUAAGGCCAAGUGGAAAUAAGAAUUUGCCUUGAACUCUUUUUUCUGGGUGCUUGUGGUUUUUUUUUUUUCAUUACCUGAUCGACUGGGCAUUAGGGAAGUAUGCCCCACCUUUUCCAGGAGUGGUUCUGACUUUAUAGUUUUAAGAAAUUCAAGAGUCUGAGGUUGACACUUCAAUAUAAGCACACUGAAUGCUGUUGUUCUAGAUACUGACUUAGGAAUUAAUCUUUGGCAAAUUACAUUACAGUAGCACCACAUAACCUUUUAUUUUAAUUUUCUUUCUCUAUAGGCUAUUUUAUAUCCACCUAAGAUAUUCUGAAAAUAAGCCGUGACACCUAAGAAUAUACAUUUAUCACUGCAUUAAUUCUCCAACUGGGGUGUUGCCCAUAUUUUAGAAUUACCUGGCUCCAGUUCCAGGGAAUGGAAUAUAUGAUAAGGUAGAAUGAGAGUAUAUGUUCUAAUGUGAUCCCCUGGAGAAAGAGAUGGUAACCCACUCCAGUAUUCUUGCCUGGGAAUUCCCACAAACAGAGGAGAUUCACAGGCUACAGUCCAUGGAGUCUCAAAAGAGUCAGACAUGACUUAGUGACUAAACAACAAACAAAAUGUUAACUAUCUAUGCAUUCUUAGAUGCAGAAAUAUUAUUCUAUGUAUUUGAAAUACUUUAUCAGUUUUAUGCUUACUUCUAAAAAUUCUUGGAGUUAAGACACACUUAUCUAAUCAUCAAACAGUCACGCAACCCCAAACAAUUGGGACUGUCUUUCCAAACACCUUUUUGGGAAUUUCCUCAGCUGGCUGAGAGAUCCUAGGCCAGGGAAGAGGAAAGCAUUUCUACCUGUGACUCUGAUGGGAUGGACUACAACCUUUUGAUGGUUGUUCUAACAAGGACUGGUCACAGAGCUUAGUUUUGAAACAAGAGGUGAAAAUGAAAGCCAAGCUUAUGUCUGGUUGAUAGAAUGGAACUUGCAUCCUGCUUAGGACCAUUCUUUUGUCUAAACACGGCACCACUCAUAUUUAUCAUCUACCUUUCCCAAUUCUCAUCCCCCUCUGAUGGGAAAUAAAUGAAACAGCAGAUAUCUGUCAAUUGUUGAAUAUGCACAAUGGGAUAUUAUUUAAAGAAAUAUAAAAGGGACUAAAGGAAUGAAGGGAUAAAAAGGAAUAUAAUGCUUUUGUAAGCUACAACUUGGAGCCUUGAAAAUGUUAUGCUAAAUGAAAAAGACCAGUCACAAAAUGCCACAUACUGUUUGAUUCUGUUUGUUUAAAAAAAAUUCCAAAAGUGAAUCCAUAGAGAUGGAAAGCAGGUCGGUCAUGGCUAGGAGGAAGGAGGAGUAGGGAGUGACUACUUAAUGGGCACAGGCUUUCCUCUAACAGUGAUGAAAUGUUUUGGAACUAGAGAGAGCUGAUGGCUGCACACCCUUGUGAAUGUACUAGUUGCCGUUGGACUGUACACUUUACAGUGGUUUAAAUGAAUUUUUUAUUAUAUGAAUUUUACUUCAACUUAAAAAAAGGGAUAGUGUAAAACAAAGAGAAGGGGGGGAAGAGGAAAUAUCAUUGGACAAGACGAUUCAACAAAUUUUAGAAAAUGGAAAACAUUUGGAGAAAUGGAAAUUGACUUACCAGAGCAGAGGAAGCGAAAACCUAAGUGGUUUCGAGAGAAUGAGGAAUGCGGGUGGGGUAACCAAUGGAGAAAGGAGCUACUUUACUGGUCAGACACUAUAGAAAGGCUGAGGCUUAGAGAUAACAGGUGCUAUGAUAAGUAGCAAUAAAUAAAUAACUUCUGGUUGAAAUUCAGAAUAUAGAGAAUUUGGAUGUCAAGGUCUUUUUUUCUCCCCAUGCCAAACAGUCAGGAGACUUUACAGCCUGUCCCCUUGCUCUGCCCUGGGAGACUGAGAGAUGGUGGAGUUCAGGGUGAAAUCCCAUCCUGA
ensembl:lncRNA